GCUGACACAUCCCGGCCAAUCUCCAGCAGACCCUCCCUCCCAGACCCUCCUACUUCCUGGACAGCAUCCAUGUUGAAGGCAGCUUCAACAUGGAUGCUGUCCAGGAGGUGGGAGGGUCUGGGAGGGAGGGUCUGCCGGAGAUUGGCAGGGAUGUGUCAG